CGUUCCCGCUUCGCUGCGUCUGACUCCGGGUAGAACCCCACCCUUGUGUAUAUUAUAUUGUUGCUUUAGCAGGUCGCCCUCUGGGCGUCGGCCUCGGCUGACUGUGCCUGCUAGAGGACCCUAAAUUUUGAAAUACAGUGUCGUCUGAGUACUAUUUAAUAGUUAAAACUUUCAACAACGGAUCUCUUGGUUCUGGCAUCGAUGAAGAACGCAGCGAAAUGCGAUAAGUAAUGUGAAUUGCAGAAUUCAGUGAAUCAUCGAAUCUUUGAACGCACAUUGCGCCCCUUGGUAUUCCGGGGGGCAUGCCUGUUCGAGCGUCAUUUAGACCAACUCCCGCUCCGGCGGGGUCUUGGGCUGCGCCUUUGGGCGGGCCUUAAAACCAGUGGCGGUGCCCUAAGGCUCUACGCGUAGUAAUUCUUCUCGCGAUAGGGUCCUUGCGGUGUCUUGCCAGCAACCCCCAACUCUCUAGGGUUGACCUCGGAUCAGGUAGGGAUACCCGCUGAACUUAAGCAUAUCAAUAAGCGGAGGAA
rnacentral:rRNA from 1 species